CUACGGGAGGCAGCAGUGGGGAAUAUUGCACAAUGGGCGCAAGCCUGAUGCAGCCAUGCCGCGUGUGUGAAGAAGGCUCUAGGGUUGUAAAGCACUUUCAGUAGGGAGGAAAGCUUGAUGAUUAAUACUCAUCAAGUGUGACGUUACCUACAGAAGAAGCACCGGCUAACUCCGUGCCAGCAGCCGCGGUAAUACGGAGGGUGCAAGCGUUAAUCGGAAUUACUGGGCGUAAAGCGCACGUAGGUGGUUUGUUAAGUUGGAUGUGAAAGCCCCGGGCUCAACCUGGGAACUGCAUCCAAAACUGGCAAACUAGAGUACGGUAGAGGUGAGUGGAAUUUCCUGUGUAGCGGUGAAAUGCGUAGAGAUGGGAAGGAACAUCAGUGGCGAAGGCGACUCACUGGACUGAUACUGACACUGAGGUGCGAAAGCGUGGGUAGCAAACAGGAUUAGAUACCCUGGUAGUCCACGCCGUAAACGAUGUCUACUAGCCGUUGGGGUCCUUGAGACUUUAGUGGCGCAGCUAACGCACUAAGUAGACCGCCUGGGGAGUACGGUCGCAAGAUUAAAACUCAAAUGAAUUGACGG
rnacentral:rRNA from 1 species